UACGUAGGGUGCAAGCGUUAAUCGGAAUUACUGGGCGUAAAGCGUGCGCAGGCGGCUUUGCAAGACAGAUGUGAAAUCCCCGGGCUUAACCUGGGAACUGCAUUUGUGACUGCAUGGCUGGAGUGCGGCAGAGGGGGAUGGAAUUCCGCGUGUAGCAGUGAAAUGCGUAGAUAUGCGGAGGAACACCGAUGGCGAAGGCACUCUUCUGGGCCGACACUGACACUGAGAGACAAAAGCUAGGGGAGCAAAUGGG
rnacentral:rRNA from 1 species